rnacentral:rRNA from 1 species
UACGAAGGAUGCGAGCGUUAUCCGGAUUUAUUGGGUUUAAAGGGAGCGUAGGCGGUCUUAUAAGUCAGUGGUGAAAUCUCGUUGCUUAACAACGAACGUGCCAUUGAUACUGUAGGACUUGAGUACAGUUGCCGUUGGCGGAAUGUGUCAUGUAGCGGUGAAAUGCUUAGAUAUGACAUAGAACACCGAUUGCGAAGGCAGCUCACUACAGAUGUAUUGACACUGAGGCACGAAAGCGUGGGGAUCAAACAGG